rnacentral:misc_RNA from 1 species
GGACCCUACCUAAGCUAGCAACCUGCCGCAAAUAGUAGAGAAUGUAUCAAUAUGAAUUCACAAAAAAAUUACGUAAAAUGAGCCACAGAUACUUGUUCAGGUGUUAAUAAAACUAAUUUCUAGACAAGUCACUUAAAAAGGUUCAAUUUUUUGAAUCAGCUGUCAGUGAGCAUUAAAAUGGUAAGACGGGGAGAGGAGCCUCUGCGAUUAAUCACUCAGCUUAAGUUAGGCUUAAUAUUGCCAUCAGUCCUGCAGCAUUAGAUUU